CUGAACAAGGCAAACCGCCCGAAAGGGCGGGACGCAAAGCCAGGGAGCUAAAGCGGGAUCGCCGCCGCCAGGCCCGCCCGGCUGUCA
rnacentral:ncRNA from 1 species